rnacentral:sRNA from 1 species
GCCGGGCGUUGUGGCGGGCGCCUGUGGUCCCAGCUACUUGGGAGGCGGAGGCGGGAGACUCGCUUGAGCCCAGGAGUUGGAGGUUGCUGUGAGCUGUAAUGCCACGGCAUUCUACCCAGGGGGACAGCUUGAGGCUCUGUCUCAAAAAAAAAAAAAAAAAAAAGAGAUAGGGUCUCACUUUGUCACCCUUGGUAGAAUGCUGUGGCAUCACAGCUUGCAGCAACCUCCAGCUCUUAAGGUUCUCGCCACAAUGCCUGGCU